CAUGAUCUGACCCCUGACCCCACAAGACCACAGUGUCACAGCUGAAGCAUCUGGAUUAACAGACUGAAGUACACGAUCAUGAUAAGAGCUAAGAGUUAGCCAGAGUUGUUGUGAACCUGGACAGCCAGCAGAGAGCAGCCUGCAUCUAUUUAUGACCUUUGGGAAACUUUGCAAAGACAGAAACAGCAGAGAGAUGAGGAACAGAGAGUCUAAAGUUUCUACAUGUUCUUAGUCAGUCCACAGGGAGACGUAGCCUCUACCUACUCCACCUCAUCUCUCCCUUUCAGUUUCACAAGAACAGAGACUUCUGCAAACAAGUUUCUGACUCAGGCUGACAAAUCCAAGUCUGUUAGUGUUGGAGGGACCGUGAGCAUCAGCGCCACAGGGAGUUCAGAUAUUGCUGCUGAUCUCAGUUGGUACCUUCAGAAACCUGGACAGGCUCCCAAACUCCUUAUAUACGAUGUAUCAACUCUCUUCUCAGGGACUGCGUCUCGAUUCAGUGGCAGUAGAUCUGGUUCUCACUACACUUUAACCAUCACAGGUGUUCAGACUGACGAUGCUGGAGAUUACUUCUGUCUGGGCUACCAUGGUAGUGGAGUGUUCACACAGUGAUUUAGAGCCGUACAAAAACCCUCUUCAG